GACGGAGGAUGCAAGUGUUAUCCGGAAUCACUGGGCGUAAAGCGUCUGUAGGUUGUUCAAUAAGUCAACUGUUAAAUCUUGAGGCUCAACUUCAAAAUCGCAGUCGAAACUAUUGAACUAGAGUAUAGUAGGGGUAAAGGGAAUUUCCAGUGGAGCGGUGAAAAUGCGUAGAGAUUGGAAAGAACACCAAUGGCGAAAGCACUUUACUGGGCUAUUACUGACACUGAGAGACGAAAGCUAGGGUAGCAAAUGGG
rnacentral:rRNA from 1 species